rnacentral:lncRNA from 1 species
GGCUAUUCUGAUGGUCAUGAAUGUCCCCAAAGUCCUGCCACUCUGCAUCAUCCCUUCUCCCAAUGCUGCCAAGGUGGCAUGUUCAAGGAACACAUGACAAAACCCAUCUUCAUGUAAUUAAAAAACAGAUGGAAUACGGUAGCCUGUAGGACCCAUGGCUACUAGAUCUCACAUUCUGCCUCAGUUGCUCAGCUCUCUGCAGUGUAGUAUCUUUAAAAACUAAUCCAGUCCAGGUACAGUGUGGUAACACCUUUGAUCCCAGCACUCUGGAGGGAGGGAAAGACAGAGCUCUGUGAAUAUGAGGCCAGUUUGACCUAAGUAUGGAUUUCCAAGUCAACUGCGGCUACAUAGUAAGCCCUCAUGACAGAGUAGCGAUGCUGGCUAAUGUCUCAUCGCCUUUCCUUUUUCAAGAUAUGAUUGGGGGUUGGGGAUUUAGCUCAGUGGUAGAGCGCUUGCCUAGCAAGCGCAAGGCCCUGUGUUCAGUCCCCAGCUCCAAAAAGAAGAAAGGGGAAAAAAAAA